rnacentral:rRNA from 1 species
AACGAACGCUGGCGGCGUGCUUAACACAUGCAAGUCGAACGGGGACUUCAUAAUUCAUACCAUUUAAACAUGACAUGGAUUAUGAAGUCUUACGUGGCAGACGGGUGAGUAAUAUAUGGAAAUCUACCUUUAAGUUCGGAAUAACCAUUGGAAACGAUGGCUAAUACUGGAUACGCCCGAGAGGGGAAAGGCUUGCCGCUUAAAGGGGAGUCCAUACCUGAUUAGGUAGUUGGUGGGGUAAAGGCCUACCAAGCCGAUGAUCAGUAGCUGGUUUGAGAGGAUGAUCAGCCACACUGGGACUGAGACACGGCCCAGACUCCUACGGGAGGCAGCAGUGGGGAAUAUUGGACAAUGGGCGAAAGCCUGAUCCAGCGACGCCGCGUGGGUGAAGAAGGUCUUCGGAUUGUAAAGCCCUUUUGUUAGGGAAGAUAAUGACGGUACCUAACGAAUAAGUCCCGGCUAACUUCGUGCCAGCAGCCGCGGUAAUACGAAGGGGGCUAGCGUUGUUCGGAAUGACUGGGCGUAAAGGGUGCGUAGGCGGUAGGAUACGUUUGGUGUGAAAGUCCCGGGCUCAACCUGGGGAUUGCACUGAAUACGGUCUUGCUAGAGUGUAAGAGGGGAAGAUGGAAUUGCGGGUGUAGAGGUGAAAUUCGUAGAUAUCCGCAAGAACACCAGAGGCGAAGGCGAUCUUCUGGCUUACAACUGACGCUGAGGCACGAAAGCGUGGGGAGCAAACAGGAUUAGAUACCCUGGUAGUCCACGCCCUAAACGAUGAAUGUUAGAUGUUGGUUUCUCGGAAUCAGUGUCGCAGCUAACGCAAUAAACAUUCCGCCUGGGGAGUACGGUCGCAAGAUUAAAACUCAAAGGAAUUGACGGGGACCCGCACAAGCGGUGGAUUAUGUGGUUUAAUUCGAAGCAACGCGCAGAACCUUACCCGUUCUUGACAUGGACCUUGUGGGGUGUGGAGACACACUUCUUCAGUUCGGCUGGGGGUUCACAGGUGCUGCAUGGCUGUCGUCAGCUCGUGUCGUGAGAUGUUGGGUUAAGUCCCGCAACGAGCGCAACCCUUUCUUUUCGUUGCCAUCAGGUUAUGCUGGGCACUGGAAAAGGACUGCCGGUUUUAAGCCGGAGGAAGGUGGGGAUGACGUCAAGUCCUCAUGGCCCUUAUGGACGGGGCUACACACGUAAUACAAUGGGAAUGACAGAAGGAUGCGAAGGGGCGACCUGGAGCCAAUCCUCAAAAGUUUUCUCAGUUCGGAUUGUUCUCUGCAACUCGAGAGCAUGAAGUCGGAAUCGCUAGUAAUUGUCGAUCAGCACGCGACGGUGAAUACGUUCCCGGGUCUUGUACACACUGCCCGUCACACCAUGGGAGCUGACUCGAUCUUAAGUUGGUGAGCUAACCUGCAAAGGAGGUAGCCAACCACGGUUGGGUGAGUGACUGGGGUG